rnacentral:rRNA from 1 species
CGGACUGGACGGCGUGCCUAACACAUGCAAGUCGAACGGAGAAUACAUUUUGAAGCAAUUAGCUUGCUAAGAGUGGAAAUGUUGUAUCUUAGUGGCGGACGGGUGAGUAACGCGUGGAUAACCUGCCUCACACUGGGGGAUAACAGCGAGAAAUUGCUGCUAAUACCGCAUAAGCGCACAGCAUUGCAUGAUGCAGUGUGAAAAACUAAAGCGAUGUGAGAUGGAUCCGCGUCUGAUUAGCUAGUUGGUAGGGUAAGAGCCUACCAAGGCGACGAUCAGUAGCCGGCCUGAGAGGGUGAACGGCCACAUUGGGACUGAGACACGGCCCAAACUCCUACGGGAGGCAGCAGUGGGGGAUAUUGCACAAUGGGGGAAACCCUGAUGCAGCCGACGCCGCGUGAGUGAAGAAGUAUUUCGGUAUGUAUAGCUCUAUCAGCAGGGAAGAAAAUGACGGUACCUGACUAAGAAGCCCCGGCUAACUACGUGCCAGCAGCAGC